rnacentral:rRNA from 1 species
UACGUAGGGGGCAAGCGUUGUCCGGAUUUAUUGGGCGUAAAGAGCUCGUAGGCGGUUCCGUAAGUCGUGAAGUCAAAUCUCUGGGCUCAACCCAGAAUCGCUUCCGAUACUGCGGUGACUGGAGUCCGGUAGGGGAGUGUGGAAUUCCUGGUGUAGCGGUGAAAUGCGUAGAUAUCGGGAGGAACACCAGUGGCGAAGGCGACUACCUGGCCUGUUCUUGACGCUGAGGCGCGAAAGCUAGGGGAGCAAACGGG